rnacentral:lncRNA from 1 species
GCUCUGUCCAGCGUGGUCGCCGCCCGCGCAGCACCGCCUGCGUGCGUGAAGGCACGCAGCUGCUUGGCUGCCUGCGUCGCCAGACGACGUGGAGGCACGACGUCCCUUCCUUUUCGCGAUAAAGCCUUCCCUCUGGACGACGCGUUCGUUCUUUCCCUUGCACCCGACGCCGGCGACCUUGCUGCGCUCCUCCAAUUCGCGUCCCUCGCUCCGUUUCCAAGCCGUUCGAGUGCACCAACAGCUCCGCCUCGAACCAAGCCACCGAUUGCGCCCCUUGCUGCAAGCUCUAAUCAUUUCUAGCCCCGGCUACGUCCGUUCUUCCUCCACUCCGGCCAAAAACGCCGCCGAGGAGCACCUCAACGUGGACAGGCCACCUCGAGCCAUUGCAGGACAAGCUACGGCCACCAGCAGGUGCGCACUAGUCUGGGCGAGCUUCCCCGAUGCUCCAAUGCCGCCGACGAGCACUCCAGCGCCGAAACCACGAUCUCCGGCGAGUUCCCCUGUUUCCAGUUCGCGACCAGGGACUUCGGGCGACAAUUUGAUGUUUCCCAGGGGUCUAUUUGCAGAGACUGUGACUUAGGUGAAUAGUGCUAUAAGGACUUGUUUGUAGAUGUUUUGCUGAAUUUUUGAAAAUUCAUAUCUGGAGUUUGGCAACUCCAAUUUUGGUGAACCAAAUUUUGUUGUGCUCCUUGAAAUGUCUAGUUUUUAUUAAAAAUAUGAAACUGACCAUGUUUUGUAGUAAAAUAAUUAGUUAUGAUUUAUGCCUUUUAAUUAUGUUUAAAAAGGAGAAAUUCAUAUCUAAUUCGGUGUAGCUCCUAUGGGCCUGAAAUUUUUAUAGUGUUUUGAUGAUGCUAUGUGAGUGUUACAGUAAAAAUUUCAUGUUCAGUGGAUGAUAUAUGGUUAAGUUAUUAAUUUAUCUUGUUUAGUGCUUAUUAAAUAGUUUACAAUUAAACUAAAAAUAAAUAAAUGUAAAAUACAGUUCCUCUGCCUUUAUAUGAGGUUGUUAUAUCAUACAGAUACAUAAUUUAGCUAUGUGUUUGUAGAAAAUGUCGAGUUUCUUAAUUAUCUUGCUGUUACAUGCUUUCUUGUGAUGGCAAUUUAUCUUUUUCAUGGAAAUUGCUAUACUUAUCCAAAUGGCAUGAAAUUAAUACAGUAGACUUUGGAGAACAUAUAUGAGCUGCUGUAGUUUUCUCAGAAUUUACUGUAUACUUUUGAUAUAUGGUUAUUGCUUUGUCUAUUUACCUAAAUAAAUUAAUAAAAACAUGAAAGGAAUUUAUUUAGGGAUGACCAUGAUGUUUUCUAGUAUCUCUUUGAUGUAUUUCAACUAUUUGUGAGCUGGGUUUUGCCCAGGUCCAAGUUUGAAAUAUUAAUGAAAUGUUAUUUGUCUAUAAUUAAUUUAUUAGUGAUUUCUGGACAGUUUCUGGAACCUUAUGAAUUGCUCUAGGUAAAUAAUGUUGGGUAUGAAACUUGUCUAUAACAAAGUUGUAUAGAAUUCAUGUAUCUAGCUGGUGUUAAAUUUUGGUGGCAUUUGGCCCUAUAGUUUCUGAGUUAUGCCUGUUUAAAUUUAAGUUUCAGAAAUGGUUCCUCUCUGUCAAAUUCUGGAUCAGUUUCUGUAGUUGUGCAAUUUCAACCUACUAAACUUAUGAAUCAUGCUUUCAUGAUAAAAGAUGAAUUGUAGUAAUUUUCAUAAGCUUUCCAAAAUGUUAUGGAUCAUGAAUUUUGGUGAUCUAGAACUCUGGUUAUAGAUGUAUGAAGCUUAAUGUCUGAUUCUGUCCAAGGUCUGGACAGAAUUGUUUAUUCAUACUGUUUGGCCAUGUUAUCUAUUAAAUCAGUUCUCGAAGAUAAUAACAAAGUUGUAGAAAAUUAUCUAAGCUUUCCAGAAAGUCUAAUAUCACCUUUGUUGGAUGUUUGGAUCCCUAAUUAUGGUUGAAUGAAGUUGUGUAUAUGCUGCUGUCCUGGUUUUGUGUGCAAAUAGAAUUGUUUGCUUUUAGCUAGCCUUUACUUAAAUAAUGAGUAACUUAAUUUCCAAAUUAGAAUUUGAGUGCUUUUGGGAUUGUGUGAUGACCUGAGGUCAUUAUCUUUUAUGACCUUUGGCAUUUAAUUAUUGUUUGAUGUUAAUACUUAAUUACUGCCAUUAAUAUUUAAUUAAGAAUUGAUUAAGAUAAAUAGAAAACCUAAUCAUUUUAGGUUUUGAUUGAUCUUUGGGAUUGAUUGACAACCAGUGGUUACUUGGCAUGAUAUGCUCCCUGGUUAAGGAUUCUUUCAUGUAAAUGAUCUUUGUUGCUUAAUAACUACACAACAUUGCUUAAGGAAGAUGAUAAAAUUUGCUUAGUAGUAAUCUAUGCUUUGAUAACUAAGUUAGUUUGUUUCUAUACCAUGAAAGUAAGUUGUACUCGAGGUAGUUAUGUUUGUUGUUAUCAUCCAAGAACAUGUAAUCUGUCUUUAUCAUGUCAUAAGCAUCUCAUUGAUCAUGCAUAUGCACUUUUACGUAUAGAAUACGCUCCGGAAGAAUCAGAUCCUCAGUGGGUCACUUCCGAGUUUGAAGAACCAUCUGGUUUUGCUGAGUUGCCGAACUUCCCUUCCGGUCAAGGCAAGCCCCGGACAUUAAACCCUAUCCUUGUAUUUUCAUAAAGUUAUUUAUAUCACUUGAGUUAAUAUGAUGCAUUAGGUGAAUAGGAGUUGAGUGAAUCCUAUUUGCUGCAUUAUCUACCUUGAUGAUUUCCAUAUUAACCUUGAUACCUGCUUUAUGAAAAUGCUUAGUAUGCUUAGCCCUGCUUAUUAGAUAAGUUUUCAAAUGAGAACGUUUGAAGGGCCGUUGUGGAAUACUUUUAUGGUUAAUAAUGUUUAAACUUGAGACCGGUCGGUGGACUUGCUUUAAGAAUGGAGUCUUAAAGUAGUGUCUCCAACUGUGUCGAUUAAGGACCGUACCGUUGAUUGGCCUGUUGUGAUUGAGACCUUUGAGUACAGCCCACAUGCGGCGGUAAGCCUUACCUAUAGCUAUUCCGAUACUUGAGAACGGCUAACCGCGUACUGGGAGUGGAGAGAUGGCGAGAGUAGCGUGUACCCACCUUACGGAUCUGAGAUGACCGGGAAACAUCUAGAUUGGCUGUAGGAUGGUGGUGUACUGUACUCUCGGGUGACGCUGGACCCGUUCUUGUAUGGGAGGAUCUAUAGAAACAGGUUGACAUAUGCAAGAUUAAGUUCUACAUAUGUCGUGUGGUACUGAAUCCCCAGCUGGGUUUAAUCGAUUCGAAUCGCCGUGUUUCCUCGGAUAUGGAGCCUCAAUCCUCACACCACCAUAUAAGAAAGAGGUGGUUUGCUUAUGAAAGUUUGAUAAUAAUUUUGGUUAGUCAUAAAUGAUGAUCUUGAGUUAAAACUUGAAAGUAGGUUUUACUCUUAGUAAGCUUUUAUGCAAAAGAAAUGCUUUGAUCUUGCUAAAGCCUUACCUUAAAUCCCUAUAGCCUGCAUACCUGAGUCUUCACCUCUUUUCUAGUCGGUUAAGUCUUGUUGAGUACUUUUGUACUCAGGGUUUUAUAACCCCGGUUGCAGGUGCUGACUUAGGCUGCUAAUGGAGGUCAUGUCGGUGGGCGCGACAUGAUUUAUCCACCUCUUCUACCUUAGAAGCUUCACCUAAGAUGCUUCCGGUACUCUACACACCUUUUNNNNNNNNNNNNNNNNNNNNNNNNNNNNNNNNNNNNNNNNNNNNNNNNNNNNNNNNNNNNNNNNNNNNNNNNNNNNNNNNNNNNNNNNNNNNNNNNNNNNGCCAAUCAGAAGUCUUUGAGACAACGAUGGGUGCAUGUGGGCCACUUAAUUCAGGAGGUUCUGUCACAGCUGGUAUCAGAGCUCAUACAUGGAUCUUCUGCAACAUUACUUGUGAAAAACUUCAAAAGGAAUUUACAAAUUAAAAAGUUUUGAGGAUAACAACUUAUAAAUGUUCCUUAACUUUUCUUAUGCUUGCUGUCUGAGUUCUGUGAAGACUGUCUGCUGACUCAAAUAGAAGGCAUUGAAAGGGACUUCAAUUCUUCUUCAACAAGCCAAGUGAAGAAUCAAACUACUCCAACAAUGCUUUGUCAAAAGUCUUGCAACAUUCCAUCCAGAGCGAUGAAGAUAGUUUAUAAAUAAAGCCCUAUAAUCUACUAACAUGAUGAAGAUAGAGCACUCUCGCCGUUGAGAAGACGUAUAGGCGAGCAUAUUGCAUAUCAUGCAUAACAUGACAAUAUAAUGAUACUUAAAAGCCCCUCCUUAUGCUUCAAAAACAGUUAUUAUUCGUUAUAGCUGUUUUAUUGAUGAAUCUCAUCAUGUACCAGGUUUCGUUACCUGAUUGAUAAUCUUUUACUCCAUAAGAUUCUAAUCCUUGAUUCAUUUGUUAUGCAUGUGACCUUCCUUGAUUGCAUCUAAUUCGGACACCUACUACCUCCUUGAUGUCAUUUGUCAACAUUUAUGUUGAUUGAAUGUCACUAUGAUUGUGUCCUCUUAAGGUACCAUGACCCAUAACUUAGGUAACAGCGCCGAAACCUGGGGUCUCCUAUGGCUCGCGACCAUAAGGAAAUACUGCCGGGCGCUCGCUGUUAUCAAAGUCUAUGAUCAUGAUCCCUUAUAGACCCACAACUUAAGUGACCUCACUCUUUGAACAAUAUUAUGGGAAUCCAUGCCCAUAUCUCUUUGGAAUUACCUAAAGCCCCUGACUUGGAUAACCAACAUAGGUCAUUGAAAGCUAUUGUAACUGUACUCUAUAGUAGGUACCAUGAUCCAUGAUCACGUUAUAGCGUCGAACCUUGUAGUCUCCUGUGGACUGCAGCCAUAAGGAAAUACUACAGGGUCCUCGUUAAACAUCGGGAUCUCUGGUCAUGCUCCACUAUAAUCUACUGUUAGUGUGCUUUCAUUCUCCUUGGAAGCUCAUUUGGAGAUUCAUAUCUUCGUAUGAAUUCUCUAAAAUUCCUGAUUGAUUACAACUUCUUGUUGAUCUUAGUUGUAAUUCUCGGACCAAUUGUAAUUGUUGUAUGAACUUCUCAGAAGUUAAUGUGCUUGACACAUUUCCUGUUCCAUUACUUAACACCACGAGUUUUAGUACCCUGGAAAUCUCGGGACGAGAUUUCUUUAAGGGGGAAGGGCUGUAACAUCCCUGAUGUUACGAACACUAAAACUGGAUCAUGUCAUCAUAAGCAUUGCAAAGCAUAUUUGUUAAGCACAUUAUUAUGCAUCCACUUAAAAUAAGGUUAUUUUGGUUGAUUGUGCUUAGGAAAUUAAAGUGUGCUUAUAUUGUGUAUGGAUGUUUGUGUUGGUGAUUAAAACCCUGGGUGAAAGUUUUUCCGAAAGACUUAAGGGGGGAAACCCUAAUUUCAAAAACCUAGAUUUGCCCCUUUUGUGCAAUUCAAAAACAAAGCAAAAUUUGAAGUUGAGUUCAAAAGCAAAGUUGUAGAUCUUGUCAAGAUGUACAACUUUGGUGUUUUGAGUUUUUGAAGUUUCAGUACAAAAUUCAAAGUAAUUUUGAAAAUACAGAUUUCCAGAAAUUGUCCCUUUUUCCAAUUUUAAUCCCUAAUUCAAAACCUAUUUGGAAUUUUGAAAAGUGAUCAAAAUGAAAGUUGUAGGGCUCAUCAAAAUGAACAACUUUCAUGUUGGGAGUUUUUCAAGUUGUUGUGGAAAAUCAAAAGUAAUUUUAGAAAUUCUAAUCUGCUCCAAUUCAAAAUUUGGAAUUUCCCCAAUUCGGGAUUUGAAAUUCAAACUGUUUUGUCAAAUUCGUCAUUUUCCACCCAGAAUUGGCUUUGGUCACCAAAAGAAGAUUUGUAGUUUGUAAAAUUCUGAAUAACUUUUGUUUUGGUGGAAUUUUGUCUUCAGUUCAAAAUUUGGACGAAUUUUGCAAAACCACAAAACUGGUUGGAUAAAGCCGGCUACAGUAACCGAGGUGGACCUCGGCGCUCUGUCCAGCGUGGUCGCCGCCCGCGCAGCACCGCCUGCGUGCGUGAAGGCACGCAGCUGCUUGGCUGCCUGCGUCGCCAGACGACGUGGAGGCACGACGUCCCUUCCUUUUCGCGAUAAAGCCUUCCCUCUGGACGACGCGUUCGUUCUUUCCCUUGCACCCGACGCCGGCGACCUUGCUGCGCUCCUCCAAUUCGCGUCCCUCGCUCCGUUUCCAAGCCGUUCGAGUGCACCAACAGCUCCGCCUCGAACCAAGCCACCGAUUGCGCCCCUUGCUGCAAGCUCUAAUCAUUUCUAGCCCCGGCUACGUCCGUUCUUCCUCCACUCCGGCCAAAAACGCCGCCGAGGAGCACCUCAACGUGGACAGGCCACCUCGAGCCAUUGCAGGACAAGCUACGGCCACCAGCAGGUGCGCACUAGUCCGGGCGAGCUUCCCCGAUGCUCCAAUGCCGCCGACGAGCACUCCAGCGCCGAAACCACGAUCUCCGGCGAGUUCCCCUGUUUCCAGUUCGCGACCAGGGACUUCGGGCGACAAUUUGAUGUUUCCCAGGGGUCUAUUUGCAGAGACUGUGACUCAGGUGAAUAGUGCUAUAAGGACUUGUUUGUAGAUGUUUUGCUGAAUUUUUGAAAAUUCAUAUCUGGAGUUUGGCAACUCCAAUUUUGGUGAACCAAAUUUUGUUGUGCUCCUUGAAAUGUCUAGUUUUUAUUAAAAAUAUGAAACUGACCAUGUUUUGUAGUAAAAUAAUUAGUUAUGAUUUAUGCCUUUUAAUUAUGUUUAAAAAGGAGAAAUUCAUAUCUAAUUCUGUGUAGCUCCUAUGGGCCUGAAAUUUUUAUAGUGUUUUGAUGAUGCUAUGUGAGUGUUACAGUAAAAAUUUCAUGUUCAGUGGAUGAUAUAUGGUUAAGUUAUUAAUUUAUCUUGUUUAGUGCUUAUUAAAUAGUUUACAAUUAAACUAAAAAUAAAUAAAUGUAAAAUACAGUUCCUCUGCCUUUAUAUGAGGUUGUUAUAUCAUACAGAUACAUAAUUUAGCUAUGUGUUUGUAGAAAAUGUCGAGUUUCUUAAUUAUCUUGCUGUUACAUGCUUUCUUGUGAUGGCAAUUUAUCUUUUUCAUGGAAAUUGCUAUACUUAUCCAAAUGGCAUGAAAUUAAUACAGUAGACUUUGGAGAACAUAUAUGAGCUGCUGUAGUUUUCUCAGAAUUUACUGUAUACUUUUGAUAUAUGGUUAUUGCUUUGUCUAUUUACCUAAAUAAAUUAAUAAAAACAUGAAAGGAAUUUAUUUAGGGAUGACCAUGAUGUUUUCUAGUAUCUCUUUGAUGUAUUUCAACUAUUUGUGAGCUGGGUUUUGCCCAGGUCCAAGUUUGAAAUAUUAAUGAAAUGUUAUUUGUCUAUAAUUAAUUUAUUAGUGAUUUCUGGACAGUUUCUGGAACCUUAUGAAUUGCUCUAGGUAAAUAAUGUUGGGUAUGAAACUUGUCUAUAACAAAGUUGUAUAGAAUUCAUGUAUCUAGCUGGUGUUAAAUUUUGGUGGCAUUUGGCCCUAUAGUUUCUGAGUUAUGCCUGUUUAAAUUUAAGUUUCAGAAAUGGUUCCUCUCUGUCAAAUUCUGGAUCAGUUUCUGUAGUUGUGCAAUUUCAACCUACUAAACUUAUGAAUCAUGCUUUCAUGAUAAAAGAUGAAUUGUAGUAAUUUUCAUAAGAUUUCCAAAAUGUUAUGGAUCAUGAAUUUUGGUGAUCUAGAACUCUGGUUAUAGAUGUAUGAAGCUUAAUGUCUGAUUCUGUCCAAGGUCUGGACAGAAUUGUUUAUUCAUACUGUUUGGCCAUGUUAUCUAUUAAAUCAGUUCUCGAAGAUAAUAACAAAGUUGUAGAAAAUUAUCUAAGCUUUCCAGAAAGUCUAAUAUCACCUUUGUUGGAUGCUUGGAUCUCUAAUUAUGGUUGAAUGAAGUUGUGUAUAUGCUGCUGUCCUGGUUAUGUGUGCAAAUAGAAUUGUUUGCUUUUAGCUAGCCUUUACUUAAAUAAUGAGUAACUUAAUUUCCAAAUUAGAAUUUGAGUGCUUUUGGGAUUGUGUGAUGACCUGAGGUCAUUAUCUUUUAUGACCUUUGGCAUUUAAUUAUUGUUUGAUGUUAAUACUUAAUUACUGCCAUUAAUAUUUAAUUAAGAAUUGAUUAAGAUAAAUAGAAAACCUAAUCAUUUUAGGUUUUGAUUGAUCUUUGGGAUUGAUUGACAACCAGUGGUUACUUGGCAUGAUAUGCUCCCUGGUUAAGGAUUCUUUCAUGUAAAUGAUCUUUGUUGCUUAAUAACUACACAACAUUGCUUAAGGAAGAUGAUAAAAUUUGCUUAGUAGUAAUCUAUGCUUUGAUAACUAAGUUAGUUUGUUUCUAUACCAUGAAAGUAAGUUGUACUCGAGGUAGUUAUGUUUGUUGUUAUCAUCCAAGAACAUGUAAUCUGUCUUUAUCAUGUCAUAAGCAUCUCAUUGAUCAUGCAUAUGCACUUUUACGUAUAGAAUACGCUCCGGAAGAAUCAGAUCCUCAGUGGGUCACUUCCGAGUUUGAAGAACCAUCUGGUUUUGCUGAGUUGCCGAACUUCCCUUCCGGUCAAGGCAAGCCCCGGACAUUA